rnacentral:misc_RNA from 1 species
UCGCUGCUUGCGCAGGCAGUCCACCUAGAGUGCCCAGCAUGACCUGAUGGCAACUAAGUGCAGGGGUUGCGCUCGUUGCAGGACUUAACCUAACACCUCACGGCACGAGCUGACGACAGCCAUGCAGCACCUGUACUCCGCGUGUAUUGCUACACUACCCGGCUUUCACCGGUUUACAGAGCUUUUCAAACCCAGGUAAGGUUCUUCGCGUUGCAUCGAAUUAAACCACAUGCUCCACUGCUUGUGCGGGCCCCCGUCAAUUCCUUUGAGUUUCAACCUUGCGAUCGUACUUCCCAGGUGGGAUGCUUAAAGCGUUAGCUGAGACACCGACCCUUGCGGGCCGACAUCGAGCAUCCAUCGUUUAGGGCGUGGACUAC